CCUACGGGUGGCAGCAGUGGGGAAUAUUGGGCAAUGGGCGCAAGCCUGACCCAGCAAUGCCGCGUGAAGGAAGAAGGCUUUCGGGUUGUAAAAUUCUUUGACAGGGGAAGAGCAGAAGACGGUACCCUGAAAACAAGCCACGGCUAACUAAGUGCAAGCGGCCGCGGUAUUACGUAGGUGGCCAGCGUUGUCCGGAUUUAGUGGGUGUAACGGGCGUGUAGCCGGGAAGGCAAGACUGAGGUGAAAUCCGGAGGCUCAACCUCCGAAUUGCAUUUGAAACUGUUUUUCUUGAGUACUGGAGAGGCAGACGGAAUUCCUGGUGUAGCGGUGAAAUGCGUAGAUAUAAGGAGGAACUCCAGUGGCGAAGGCGGUCUGCGGGACAGCAACUGACGGUGAGGCGCGAAGGCGUGGGGAGCAAACAGGAUUAGAUACCCUGGUAGUC
rnacentral:rRNA from 1 species